GCCCUACGGGUGGCUGCAGUGGGGAAUAUUGGACAAUGGGCGCAAGCCUGAUCCAGCCAUGCCGCGUGAGUGAUGAAGGCCCUAGGGUUGUAAAGCUCUUUCACCGAUGAAGAUAAUGACGGUAGUCGGAGAAGAAGCCCCGGCUAACUUCGUGCCAGCAGCCGCGGUAAUACGAAGGGGGCUAGCGUUGUUCGGAAUUACUGGGCGUAAAGCGCACGUAGGCGGAUAUUUAAGUCAGGGGUGAAAUCCCGCAGCUUAACUGCGGAACUGCCUUUGAUACUGGGUAUCUUGAGUAUGGAAGAGGUGAGUGGAAUUCCGAGUGUAGAGGUGAAAUUCGUAGAUAUUCGGAGGAACACCAGUGGCGAAGGCGGCUCACUGGUCCAUUACUGACGCUGAGGUGCGAAAGCGUGGGGAGCAAACAGGAUUAGAUACCCGAGUAGUC
rnacentral:rRNA from 1 species